rnacentral:rRNA from 1 species
GAUGAACGCUGGCGGCGUGCCUAAUACAUGCAAGUCGAGCGAACAGACGAGGAGCUUGCUCCUCUGACGUUAGCGGCGGACGGGUGAGUAACACGUGGAUAACCUACCUAUAAGACUGGGAUAACUUCGGGAAACCGGAGCUAAUCCCGGAUAAUCUAUUGAACCGCAUGGUUCAAUAGUGAAAGACGGUUUUGCUGUCACUUAUAGAUGGAUCCGCGCCGCAUUAGCUAGUUGGUAAGGUAACGGCUUACCAAGGCAACGAUGCGUAGCCGACGUGAGAGAGGGGUAGGCCACCUGAGAACGGGACCGGCGUCAAUGGGACUGAGGGACGGAGCAGACGGGAACCGUCCGCAAUGGGCGAAAACCUUACGGAGCAACGCCGCGUGAGUGAUGAAGGCCUUGGGAUCGUAAUACUCUGCUGUUAGGGAAGAACAAAUUUGUACGUAACUAUGCACGUCUUGACGGUACCUAAUCAGAAAGCCACGGCUAACUACGUG